UACGGCCACAUAACGUUGAAACACCGGUUCUCGUACGAUCCUCGAAGUUAAGUAACGUCGGGCCUGGUUAGUAACUAGAUGGGUGAUCGCUUGGGGAUACCAGUUGCUGUUA